CGUGUAGGCGGCUCAUCAAGUCUGGUGUGAAAACGCAAGGCUUAACCUUGCGUAUGCGCUGGAAACUGGUGGGCUUGAGUUCCUGAGGGGAAGCUGGAAUUCCAGGUGUAGGGGUGAAAUCUGUAGAUAUCUGGAAGAACACCGGUGGCGAAGGCGAGCUUCUAUCAGAGGACUGACGCUGAGGCGCGAAAGCGUGGGGAGCAAACAGGAUUAGAUACCCUGGUAGUCCACGCUGUAAACGAUGUGCACUAGGCGUGGGGCCCGUACGGGUUCUGUGCCGUAGUUAACGUGUUAAGUGCACCCGCCUGGGGAGUAUGCUCGCAAGGGUGAA
rnacentral:rRNA from 1 species